AGCUCCAAUAGCGUAUAUUUAAGUUGUUGCAGUUAAAAAGCUCGUAGUUGGAUUUCGGGUUGGCUUCAGCGGUCUCGCUUUGCGUUUGUACUGCUGCAGCCUGCCUUCUUGUCGGGGACGAGUUUUCGGGCUUAAUUGCCUGGGACUCGGAGUCGACGAUGUUACUUUGAGUAAAUUAGAGUGUUCAAAGCAAGCCUACGCUCUGAAUAUAAUAGCAUGGGAUAACACGACAGGACUCUGGCCUAUCGUGUUGGUCUGUAGGACCAGAGUAAUGAUUAAGAGGGACAGUCGGGGGCAUUCGUAUUCCGUUGUCAGAGGUGAAAUUCUUGGAUUUACGGAAGACGAACAUCUGCGAAAGCAUUUGCCAAGGAUGUUUUCAUUGAUCAAGAACGAAAGUAGG
rnacentral:rRNA from 1 species